rnacentral:rRNA from 1 species
ACGGGUGAGUAACACGUGGGAACGUACCCUUCGGUUCGGAAUAACGCUGGGAAACUAGCGCUAAUACCGGAUACGCCCUUAUGGGGAAAGGUUUACUGCCGAAGGAUCGGCCCGCGUCUGAUUAGCUAGUUGGUGGGGUAAUGGCCUACCAAGGCGACGAUCAGUAGCUGGUCUGAGAGGAUGAUCAGCCACACUGGGACUGAGACACGGCCCAGACUCCUACGGGAGGCAGCAGUGGGGAAUAUUGGACAAUGGGCGCAAGCCUGAUCCAGCCAUGCCGCGUGAGUGAUGAAGGCCUUAGGGUUGUAAAGCUCUUUUGUCCGGGACGAUAAUGACGGUACCGGAAGAAUAAGCCCCGGCUAACUUCGUGCCAGCAGCCGCGGUAAUACGAAGGGGGCUAGCGUUGCUCGGAAUCACUGGGCGUAAAGGGCGCGUAGGCGGCCAUUCAAGUCGGGGGUGAAAGCCUGUGGCUCAACCACAGAAUUGCCUUCGAUACUGUUUGGCUUGAGUAUGGCAGAGGUUAGUGGAACUGCGAGUGUAGAGGUGAAAUUCGUAGA